rnacentral:rRNA from 1 species
CAGCAGGCGCGAAAACUUUACAAUGCCGGCAACGGCGAUAAGGGAACCUCGAGUGCCAGGCUACAAAUCUGGCUGUCGUGAUGCCUAAAAAGCAUUGCAUAGCAAGGGCCGGGCAAGACCGGUGCCAGCCGCCGCGGUAACACCGGCGGCUCGAGUGGUAACCGUUAUUAUUGGGUCUAAAGGGUCUGUAGCCGGCCGGGUAAGUCUCUUGGGAAAUCUGGCAGCUUAACUGUCAGGCUUUCAGGAGAUACUGCCUGGCUCGAGGCCGGGAGAGGUGAGAGGUACUUCAGGGGUAGGGGUGAAAUCUUGUAAUCCUUGAAGGACCACCAGUGGCGAAGGCGUCUCACCAGAACGGACCUGACGGCAAGGGACGAAAGCUAGGGGCACGAACCGGAUUGGAUACCCGGGUAGUCCUAGCCGUAAACGAUACUCGCUAGGUGUCGGCCACGGUGCGACCGUGGUCGGUGCCGUAGGGAAGCCGUGAAGCGAGCCACCUGGGAAGUACGGCCGCAAGGCUGAAACUUAAAGGAAUUGGCGGGGGAGCAC